CCCAGACUCCUACGGGAGGCAGCAGUGGGGGAUAUUGCACAAUGGGGGGAACCCUGAUGCAGCGACGCCGCGUGGGUGAAGGAGCGUUUCGGCGCGUAAAGCCCUAUCGGCAGGGAAGAAGGAGGACGGUACCUGACUAAGAAGCCCCGGCUAACUACGUGCCAGCAGCCGCGGUAAUACGUAGGGGGCAAGCGUUAUCCGGAUUUACUGGGUGUAAAGGGGGCGCAGACGGCAGCGCAAGCCAGGAGUGAAAGCCCGGGGCCCAACCCCGGGACUGCUCUUGGAACUGCGCGGCUGGAGUGCAGGAGGGGCAGGCGGAAUUCCUGGUGUAGCGGUGAAAUGCGUAGAUAUCAGGAGGAACACCGGUGGCGAAGGCGGCCUGCUGGACUGCGACUGACGUUGAGGCCCGAAAGCGUGGGGAGCAAACAGGAUUAGAUACCCGAGUACAA
rnacentral:rRNA from 1 species